GACGAACGCUGGCGGCGUGCCUAACACAUGCAAGUCGAACGGAGCUAUUGACUUCGGUUGAUAGCUUAGUGGCGAACGGGUGAGUAACGCGUGAGCAACCUGUCUUUCAGAGGGGGAUAACAACGAGAAAUCGUUGCUAAUACCGCAUAAGACCACACUGUCGCAUGGCAGAGGGGUAAAAGGAGCAAUCCGCUGAUUGAGGGGCUCGCGUCCCAUUAGAUAGUAGGUGAGGUAACGGCUCACCUAGUCUGCGAUGGGUAGCCGAGCUGAGAGGCUGAACGGCCACACUGGAACUGAGACACGGUCCAGACUCCUACGGAGGCAGCAGUGGGGAAUAUUGGGCAAUGGGCGAAAGCCUGACCCAGCAACGCCGCGUGAGGGAUGACGGCCUCGGUCGUAACGUACUUACUACGCAGGAGAAGACGAAGUAGACGGUACCGUGCAGAAGAAGACACCGGCUAACGUACGUGCCGAGCAGCGCGGUAAGUCA
rnacentral:rRNA from 1 species